GUGGGGAAUAUUGCGCAAUGGGGGAAACCCUGACGCAGCGACGCCGUGUGAGGGAAGAAGGCUUUCGGGUCGUAAACCUCUGUCAGAAAGGAAGAACCUCCCAAGUCCGAAUAGGGCUUGGGACUGACGGUACUUUCAAAGGAAGCACCGGCUAACUCCGUGCCAGCAGCCGCGGUAAUACGGAGGGUGCAAGCGUUAAUCGGAAUCACUGGGCGUAAAGCGCGCGUAGGCCGCUUUGUAAGUCGGACGUGAAAGCCCUCGGCUCAACCGGGGAACUGCGUUCGAUACUGCGAGGCUUGAGUCCUGGAGAGGGUGGCGGAAUUCCUGGUGUAGGAGUGAAAUCCGUAGAUAUCAGGAGGAACACCGGUGGCGAAGGCGGCCACCUGGACGGGUACUGACGCUGAGGCACGAAAGCGUGGGGAGCAAACAGGAUUAGAUACCCUAGUAGUCC
rnacentral:rRNA from 1 species